GAUGAAGAACGCAGCGAAAUGCGAUACUUGGUGUGAAUUGCAGAAUCCCGUGAACCAUCGAGUCUUUGAACGCAAGUUGCGCCCGAAGCCGUCAGGCCGAGGGCACGCCUGCCUGGGCGUCACACGCCGUUGCCCCCCCGCGCCCCGCACCCAACUCUUUGGGAGCGACCGCGGGGCGGGCUGAUGAUGGCCUCCCGUGCGCUCCGCCGCGCGGUUGGCCCAAAUACCGAGUCCCCGGCGACGUGCGCCACGACGAUCGGUGGUUGAGAGACCUCUGUCGCAAGUCGUGCGCGCCCGUCGCGUCACGCGGGCUCGCAUAGCGCCUCGCGCCGCACCCGGUGCGGAGCUUUCAACGCGGCCCCAGGUCAGGCGGGGUUACCCGCUGAAUUUAAGCAUAUCAAUAAGCGGAGGA
rnacentral:misc_RNA from 1 species